UCGAGGAUCUUUGGCAAUGGACGCAAGUCUGACCAAGCGACGCCGAGUGUGCGAUGAAGGCCUUCGGGUUGUAAAGCACUGUCGAGGGGGAGGAAGCCGCAAGGUUGACCUAUCCCUGGAGGAAGCACGGGCUAAGUUCGUGCCAGCAGCCGCGGUAAGACGAACCGUGCAAACGUUAUUCGGAAUCACUGGGCUUAAAGGGCGCGUAGGCGGGCAACCAAGUCCGAGGUGAAAUCCUCCAGCUCAACUGGAGAAGUGCCCCGGAUACUGGUGGCCUCGAGGAGGGUAGGGGCAUCUGGAACUAGCGGUGGAGCGGUGAAAUGCGUUGAUAUCGCUAGGAACUCCGGUGGCGAAGGCGAGGUGCUGGACCCUUUCUGACGCUGAGGCGCGAAAGCCAGGGGAGCGAACGG
rnacentral:rRNA from 1 species